CGUGCAGGCGGUUCGUUAAGUCUGAUGUGAAAGCCCCGGGCUCAACCCGGGAAGUGCAUUGGAAACUGGCGAACUUGAGUACGGGAGAGGGAAGUGGAAUUCCGAGUGUAGGGGUGAAAUCCGUAGAUAUUCGGAGGAACACCAGUGGCGAAGGCGGCUUCCUGGACCGAUACUGACGCUGAGACGCGAAAGCGUGGGGAGCAAACA
rnacentral:rRNA from 1 species